CCUAACCUAAAUCCCAUCCAUCCGUCUCUGUGUUCGCCGCCGCCCCUCUCGCGCUACCUCCCCGCCUCAUCAUGCUGCUUCCCCAGCCCACGAUGGCGCCACGCUGGGAUGGAGAUCGGGGCUGAGGUGAGGAGGGCUGAGACUCCCUCGAUUUCUGUCUAGGGUUCCCUGCCCAUGCUGAUGCCUCGGCCACACGCCUCGCGCCGCCCAGCCCUGCCCGACGCCGAUGCCACGCCUCGCUCGCCUUCAUCGAGGUCGCCCAAUGCAGCCCAACCACGGUGUGCAUCGGCCACUUGGGCGCAUGGCCGCGGUAGUGUCGCAGGGGCACGUGUGGAAGCCGGGACGAGGACGGACACAUCCAGAUCAGGUGCUCGCGCCUGAUCUUGAUUAGUGUGGCCGCCCAAUCCAUCUCCCUCUAUUCCGUGGUCGACUCCAGCGGUGGUGAUGGGCUCAUCGACCAUGGCACAUGGGCGGCUUCCACUCAACGACCUCUGCUGCCUGCAACGUGUGGUGAUGUGCAUGCAUGACCGGCAGCCAUGGCAGAUCAUGUGGUAGGCAGCAUGCCGCGUUGGUCUGACGAUGUCAAGGACUGUACAGGGAUAUUAUUUACAGGGGAUGCCGUAUAUACAUGGAGAUUAUCAACCAUUGUUCACAUAUAACAGAUAUGCAACAGAAGAAGUUCCUCAAGUGCUACUCCAAAAAGUCCAAGCAAAAAGGAUCUUCCACUUUGCUCGGGGUAUAUACCUGCCAGGUGAAUUGGACCCAAUCCUCCACCCCGCCCUUGAGCUUCAGGUUGUAUACGGUCCCCGUCAGAAGCCCAGUUGCUAUAUUGCUCCCGUACCAUAGUCUCAAGCUAGCAAGCAUGUCAACUACGGCAAGACCAAAACUCUGAAUGUAGUACACAUGCAUCAAGCCUUGACAAGGAACCCCUGUGAAAAGUGAGGCAGCGGCGAAGCAGUAGCUAGCGUGGGGCGAGUCACGUCUGUGGUAUUGUAGGCAAUCAUCACCAUGGACAAGCUCGCUGGAAUCAAGUCAGGUGAUGAUAAAGACAGAAAAUGGUUUGUGCACAUGGCACUAUCGAUCGUGGAGGGAUCGACAAGGGGCCCGACUGUACUGUUUGGUACUGGAUGAGCCACUACGGGCAUUGACGGCAGUAGAACACUUUACCCCUCAUGCCCAGCUUCCAGUGGUCCACCGUGGGUGCUUCAGGCUUUGGUGAUUAUGACAAAUUAGCGCCGAGAUAUGUUGCAAGAAUCGUCAACAAGUGUUGUUUCCAUGGGAAGGCAUCGGUCAUGGUGCAUCUCUACUAAGGGAUAAACAUGAUGUGUGACUUGUUCCAUAUGGCUCGAUUGGAGUAUUUAAUUGUGACGAAGCUGUAAACUGGGCUUGGUCAGCAGAAAAAAUAAAUCAGAUAUAGCCACCAGCAUUUAACAUGGCCUUGUCAUCUCUCACCAUCAGAAGCAGAUUGAGUCUCUUGACAAGAUUAAUGUUGUUUACCGAAUGGAGGGAUGACAGUAUAUGCUUUCAGUUCAUUUAAUAGGUAUUUUUCUUCAGCUAACCAUUUCUUGUUUGAGACUCCAUCUUAUUGUAUUGCCAACUUUUUGAAAAAAAUACUGUUGUGCCCAUGCAUGCAUUUUUCAUGUUUUGAAUCAGUGUUACUGAAUAAUCACCAUUUCCUGCCCAUCGGCCACCGCUGGCCAGAGAACCACUAUCCCUUCAUUAGCACUUUUCCAGUCCAUUUGCAAAAUCCGAAUCCAGCAUUUCUGAAUCAUGCUUGGUGUGUGCUGGCGGUGGGCGAGGAACAUGGUGAUUUUUUAUCUGAAUCAAGGUGUAGCUGUCUUAAUCUUGUACAUGUUGUUCUCUGAAUCAUGUGGUAUUUCUAAGUGCUCUGCAUGUUUUGUGGUGCAUAGGGGAAGCGGAGGCGACGACAUGCAACUGUUCUCUUUACAUCUGUCAUGGUCCAAAGUCUAGGGAGAAGUAGGUUUUGCACUCGUAUUUGGCAGGAUGGAGAUGAAUUCGAGAGAGAUGUUGCUGGGAGUUGUACCGAUCAUUUUUAUGUCCUCCCUAUGUUAUGCCUUUGCACUGAUGUGUAAUUUUUUUGAGUGGGGGAUAGUGUAGCGAACACGAACAGAAAAAUUGGUAGACGUUGAGGAGAACAAUCUGAGUGAGCAACAUUAGUUGAGUAUUAAGAUGUAGCCUUACUUGUGCCUUUAGGUAUUUUAGACAAGCAUCAUACUCUGCCCGCAGCACGUAAGGGAAACCAAAAAGGAAUAAAAACAUUUGGGCUUCUUCGUAAUUUUCCAUUUGGUUCUAAGCUUUUCUAAAUGGCAAAAACAUUUCACAUAAAUUAAUAAAUAACCUUGCUGCAAACUUGAGUUGGUUUACAAUGAAGUUGGCAAGUACAUGUUCUUGUUGACUAAAUAUUUUUCAUAAAUAUGAGAGUAUGAAGAUAAUUUGUUCUUUCUUUUCUCUGUUCACAAUGGGAUAACAAUAUUUGUUAUAUUUCACAGUGUUACACAAUUUAUCAUAGGGAGGACAGACUAAUCUAAUGAUGUACAACAGCUUUGAUGUGUUGAGGAUCAUGGUGGUCUAUGGAUUCUGCACCUGGUAGUAGGCUGAGAAAGGUACAUUGUUUCUCUAACACAAUGAUGUUCAGAGCAACCGUCCACUAUGUGAGAUUUAGAAGUUGGUAUUGACGGCGGAUGCAUCCAUGUGCAAAUCUCCUGGCAUUGAGCGGACGGAUCCAAGGGAAUUGGGGCGGCCAGCCAGCUGGCAGUGCACGCAUGGGCGAUCACGACGCAACAAAGUUCUGGGUUUUAAACUGGGAGCGGACGGACGUGGCCCAAGGGAGAACAUGGGUGGGGAGCGUGCGGACCGUCGACGAAAGAGAACAACACUGGGUUUGAUAAUUACUCAACAAAUCAGAGAUCGAUCUCUUUUUUUAGAUGCAAAUAUUUUUUAAUUUAAUAUGUCCACUCCCGUUACUAUGUGACAUAUUUAGAUGCACUAGGUUUCGCAUUAAAAAAUAUGCUUACUGUUUCUUCCUUCAGUUUUGGUGAACUUUCUGUUAGCAAGAUGUGCAAGAAAGCUAUUUCAUUCUGGAGACAUAAGUCGUCAACUUUCUCAUAGAGUCGUACAUAAACUGUUCUUUUUUUGAGAAUGAUGAACUACCCCCAUGUGAGUUUCUUGAUCUUUCAUUCCUGAUUUCACACUAUUUUAUUUUCUUACAUGUAUUAAUCCUCGGUUGUAGCUAGCUUAGUUCGCGAGCAUUUCGUUGUUGUUUUGUUUUUCUCUUAGGCAUGAAGCUUUGGCUGUACCUAGCUCGGUUUGGAAUUGUAACAUCUUGUAGUGCAUUUCCUCGAAUUAAUUUUUUUUAUGAAAUAUGUUCUUUCAUUGGCAUUCAGGUAAAACAAACAACAAAACAUGUAUCCGAAGCUUUCUGAAAACCCGUACAAUAGUGUAGUGGCCUCAUGGUCUCACUAAACCCCUUCUUGCAGACGCCUCUCUUCUAACUAUAUUGUUAUUUUUGUGCACAAUUGAAAUUGAGAUGCAGGUCUAUCUAAUGCUUGUUGUUGUUGUCAAAGGCGGAGCGAAGUCGAAGACGAAGCCUCUUGAUAUAUGUUUAGUGGUGGGUAUUUAUAUUUUCAAAUAGCCAGCACAUCACCGGCGAGGGGGGAAUGAAGGAGAGAGGGAAUUGAGGACAAAUAUUCAUCGAGCUACAGUACAUGCAUAUAUGACUCGUUUUUUUUGUUUUUUAUAAGGUGUCCUCAUUUUGUUGCUUCUGCGUAGGUUUGGAUAUUUUCCUUCAACCACAAGGCCCAUCCAGUUGUGAGCUACGACAAAUUUGUUAGAGUUGGAGGAGAAAACAUUGCACAUCAGAGCUACGUUGAUUGUAGCGAGGCAACCAUUAAUUGGGUAUGAUCAUACGAGGGAGGGGAGAAUAGAGGAACAUUAAUAUUUUCAUGCUUUGGAUGAAAAUCUCAAUUCAUAGUUUCUCUGUACGUGGCAACACACGAGCAGUACUGGUGGGCUCACGAUGGAAGUAGCGCUGGCAGAAUCAGUAGGCACUCUAUGGGAAGGCGGUUGUCGCCCUUGUCCCUCGGUCUCCGAAAGGAUUUGCUAAUAACAACAUAAUAAUUAGUACCACCAGUAACCCUUCUAUUUACCCACCUUCAGUAUAAUUGUAGAUGGCAUUUGGUUGUUCAUGUAUACUCAGGAUUUAUGGGUUGUCAACAGCCUCAUCUGAAUGCUUGAUGUACUUAUAUUUCUUUCUUUUCAAUGCCCAUUUCAUCUGAGUAGGGUGAUGAGGGAAAGAACAUGUCGUGUUGAAAGUCAGUUUAGUGCAUCAAGGACGGGAAGUUCUGAGAAUUGCAAGAGGUGAUUGAGGAUGGUUAGCUAUUGUGGCUCAUCAUAUAGUGGUGGAAGAUGAGUACAAGCAUAUAAGCUUAUUAAAAAUUUACAGUUCCUGACUGCACGAGACAUUUUUUAGCUGAACUUCUCAUCUGACUAAUAAUCAUACAACGUAAAGUAACCUUUGACCAUCCUUCUGAAUUAUACUGCAAGUCUGGAAGGCGAUAUUUUGUUGAGCAUGUAGACACAAGUUAUACCUUGCGAGGCACAAGCUUUUUCUCCUUGGCCUCAUGGAGCUAAAUUAUGAGCAUUACCUGACAAGACACAAUCAGAGCAUCCCCAUACUCUAGCUAAUUAAAGUUCGUUCUCAUCUUCUAUUUCACACAAAUCAAUUGUGUCUGCCCCAGAUCGUUUGGCAUUAGAUGAUUGUAAGGAUUUUAAGUGACUUUAAUAAGUUCAUCUUCCGGAAUGAAUCUAUCAGUUCAUCACACACAUGUACUCUUGUACUAAAAACAGAACAAUCAAAAGGUAUACACGUCAGAGCCACAGAGGGGCACCUAGCUAGACAGGGGAUUACAGAAUAUCCAAAAUAAGUUUGCAACCGGGAUGAAUCGAGAUGUACGCACAUGCCAUGAGAUAGGGUGGAGAAGAUCGACGAAAGAGAACUAUUGGACAUGGUGGAGGGGCUGCAGUAGUCCAUCUGCUUGCCGGCGCUGUCGAAUAUGAGGACGCCAAGGUCCGCCUCGCAGAGCAUGGCGAGCUACUGCACCUUCUUCAACAGCCCGGCUCUGCUCUUGCCGAAGGUGGACUGCCUGGAGACGUUAUUGGACCGUCCCAACAGCUACGUGGCCGGCGUGACUAGCAGCCGAAUCCUGCUGCUCACCGCGGCAGAUGUGCGGUCCGGCUGCUCAUCGGAGAAGACCCUCCCUCCAGCUACAUCGCCAGCGCAAAAAAUAACGGCGAGGCCUUCUGCACCUCCCGGUCGGCGGCCGGAUCUGGCUGCUCAUCGGGCCAGAUAUGCAGUCCCGCUGCUCACCGGAGAUAUCGCGAUGGAGGGGAUGGGGUGCGGCGGGAAGUGGAGGGGGCGGGAGGUGGUAUGGACCGUGGAGGGGAUAUAGCAGAUCCAAGCCAUGGCGGUGAUCUAUAGCUGCAGCAUCGCCGCAG